CCUACGGGAGGCAGCAGUGAGGAAUAUUGGUCAAUGGGCGCAAGCCUGAACCAGCCAAGUCGCGUGAGGGAUGAAGGUACAGAGUAUCGUAAACCUCUUUUGUCAGGGAACAAAGGCGGGGACGCGUCCCCGGAUGAGUGUACCUGAAGAAAAAGCAUCGGCUAACUCCGUGCCAGCAGCCGCGGUAAUACGGAGGAUGCGAGCGUUAUCCGGAUUUAUUGGGUUUAAAGGGUGCGCAGGCGGUCUGUUAAGUCAGCGGUCAAAGCCCGGGGCUCAACCCCGGCCCGCCGUUGAAACUGGCAGUCUCGAGUUGGAGAGAAGUAUGCGGAAUGCGCGGUGUAGCGGUGAAAUGCAUAGAUAUCGCGCAGAACUCCGAUUGCGAAGGCAGCAUGCCGGCUCCACACUGACGCUGAGGCACGAAAGCGUGGGUAUCGAACAGGAUUAGAUACCCCAGUAGUC
rnacentral:rRNA from 1 species